rnacentral:rRNA from 1 species
GAUGAACGCUGGCGGCGUGCCUAAUACAUGCAAGUCGAGCGAACAGACGCGGAGUUUCUCCUCUACCGUUAGCGGCGGACGGGUGAGUAACCGGUGGAUAACCUCCCUAUAAGACUGGGAUAACUUCGGGAACUCGGAGCUAUUACCGGAUAAUAUACUGAACCGCAUGGUUCAAUGGUGAAAGUCGGGUUUGCUGUCACCUAUAGAUGGAUCCGCGCGGCAUUAGCUUGUUGGGAAGGUAACGGCUUACCAAGGCAACGAUGCGUAGCCGACUUGAGAGGGUGAUCGGCCACACGGGAACUGAGACACGGUCCAGACUCCUACGGGAGGCAGCAGUAGGGAAUCGUCCGCAAUGGGCGAAAGCCUGACGGAGCGACGCCGCGUGAGUGAUGAAGGUCUUCGGAGCGGAAAACUCUGUUAUUAGGGAAGAACAAAUGUGUAAGUAACUAAGCACGUCGUGACGGUACCUGAUCAGAAAGCAACGGCUAACUACGUG